GAUGCAGCUCAGUCCUGGUCUGCUAUUCCAGGCCUAGCUAUCUGUCCCACAGUGUGUGAUAGUUCUCAGCUGUGCCGGUGCUGGAAACCCAGUAAUCUUAUUUUCAGGAGUAACCUAAAACAGAUGAUAAACCCCUGGUAUAUCACAGAUACAGCAGCAUGUUAACCUUGAAUCCCCAGCUGAGGCUGAGAACUAGUACAUACCUGACAGGCCCUUAUCCUGCCCAGCCACUCUGCUGCCAAAUUCAAAUGUCACUUUGUCCAGACUGCUGGUGGAAGGAACAGACGCCUCAUCCCAAACUACCAUGGUAGGGGAUUCAUCCAGAUCAGCUUCAUAAAGUUAGGACAGGAAAGGAGAAAGUAUCAUCUAGUGGGGAAAACACAGAACUAGGGAAGAAGGAGACUGCACUUCAUUCCCAGUCUUGCUGUAGACACUGUCCUUGGGAUUUCGGCACUGAAAAGACAAACAAGAAGUGCAUUCAUAAUCACAAUCGUAUUCACCUCUGCAAAGCGCCGACCGCUGCUAAUUUCAGAUUGAUGUUGAGCUCGAAACUCCAGACACAUAAGCAAGCAACAUUUAAAAUGUGUUUCAUAAAUAAAUCUGCCCUACCACCCUGGGCCUGAUUCUCUUUUGCCACUUUAAGUUCGGUGCCUGUCAUGGUGGCAACCCUAGGACCCGCUGGUGGACACCAGUGCUGAGGGGAGCUGUCAAGGCGAAGGACUCCUGUUACAGCUGAGAGGUACCGGCUGGUGAAGAAGGCUGUGGCUGUGGCAGUCAUUGAAGCAAAAACCCGGGCUUGGGAUGAGUUUGGAAAGACCAUGGAGAAUGACUACCGGACGGCCUCAAAGGUGUUCUGGCAAAACGUUCGUCACCUUAGGAGGGAUCGGUGGGAUAUUGCCCAAGCUGUUCUCAGCAAGGGUGGUGAAACGCUGACCUCGACUGAGGAGGGAUACGCCCUCCCUUCAGGAGGCAGUACCGGAAACGUCUGGUGACAUCGGGUCUAUUUCUGUUGUUGAGGUCAUUACGGUGGUAAAGUGCCUUUGUAGCAGUAAGGCAGCUGGGGUGGACGCGAGACAUUGGAAUCACUGGACAAUGUUGGGGUGUCGUGGUUAACGUGCCUCUUCAAUGUUGCAUGGAAGGCGGGUGCAGUACCUCUGGACUGACAAACCGGGGUGGUGGUCCCACUCUUAAUGUCUAACUACCUUUGAGGAGCUGGACCGCUACCUCUCUGUGCCUCAGUUUCCCCAUCUGCAAAUGGUGAUAGUGACACUUCGCAGUGGGGGAGUAGUGAGAUUUAAUUAAAUAAUAUUUGUACUUGCUUUGAAAGGGCCAAUUGUUGUUAUUUUCACAGGAAGAUCAUGAAACCCUCUGGUUUAAUUGGGGGCAUAGCACUUGUAAGCAUAAAGUAUGUAUUGUAUAAAAGGCUUCUCUGCAAGGAAAACAGAAAUAUAUUAUUAAUAAUUAUUAAUUUGUACAUGGCCAUAGGUGUAGUAGGCACUUCACAGGCUGGAAAAAUGGCAAGAGAUCCCUUCCCCCAUGUAGCUUCCUGGGUGUUUGAAUUAAGGAGAGCGGGAUGAAUGGUGCCCUGUAGGGGGCGCUGUUAAGAGUUGUCUAUUUAAAUGAAAUGCCUUGUGUGGGAUUCUACCUUAGAACUGCACCGCUUGCCUCUGUGAAGUGGAAUCUGAUGAGAUAGGAGCACACCUCGGAAGAGCCCAACACAACAAGUUGUGACAAACAGCUAUGCAAAGUAUGUCGCACGCCUACUUGUACAUCUGCAUAUGGCCCACUUAGU